AGCUUUGUGCAGGGGGCAGUAUCGUAGCCAAUGAGGUUUAUCCGAGGCACGAUUAUUGCUAAUAAAACAAUGGUUAUAACAACA
rfam:Canis lupus familiaris chromosome 2, whole genome shotgun sequence.